rnacentral:rRNA from 1 species
UACGGAGGGUGCGAGCGUUAAUCGGAAUUACUGGGCGUAAAGGGCGCGUAGGCGGCGCGUUAAGUCAGGGGUGAAAUCCUGGAGCUCAACUCCAGAACUGCCUUUGAUACUGGCGUGCUCGAGUGUGGGAGAGGUUGGUGGAACUCCGAGUGUAGAGGUGAAAUUCGUAGAUAUUCGGAAGAACACCAGUGGCGAAGGCGGCCAACUGGCCCGUUACUGACGCUGAGGUGCGAAAGCGUGGGGAGCAAACAGG